rnacentral:rRNA from 1 species
GACGGGACCGCACAAGCGGUGGAUGAUGUGGUUUAAUUCGAUGCAACGCGAAAACCUUACCACCUUUGACAUGUACGGAAUCCUUUAGAGAUAGAGGAGUGCUCGAAAGAGAGCCGUAACACAGGUGCUGCAUGGCUGUCGUCAGCUCGUGUCGUGAGAUGUUGGGUUAAGUCCCGCAACGAGCGCAACCCUUGUCAUUAGUUGCUACAUUCAGUUGGGCACUCUAAUGAGACUGCCGGUGACAAACCGGAGGAAGGUGGGGAUGACGUCAAGUCCUCAUGGCCCUUAUAGGUGGGGCUACACACGUCAUACAAUGGAUGGUACAAAGGGUCGCCAACCCGCGAGGGGGAGCCAAUCCCAUAAAGCCAUUCGUAGUCCGGAUCGCAGUCUGCAACUCGACUGCGUGAAGUCGGAAUCGCUAGUAAUCGUGGAUCAGAAUGUCACGGUGAGUACGUUCCCGGGUCUU